rnacentral:rRNA from 1 species
UACGUAGGGCGCGAGCGUUGUCCGGAAUUAUUGGGCGUAAAGAGCUCGUAGGCGGCCGGUUGCGUCUGCUGUGAAAUCCCGGGGCUUAACCCCGGGCGUGCAGUGGAUACGGGCCGGCUGGAGGCAGGCAUGGGAGAAUGGAAUUCCCGGUGUAGCGGUGAAAUGCGCAGAUAUCGGGAGGAACACCGGUGGCGAAGGCGGUUCUCUGGGCCUGUACUGACGCUGAGGAGCGAAAGCGUGGGGAGCGAACAGG